CAGAGGUCUCAACCGUUGUUCGGAUUCAUUGGGCGUAAAGGGUGCGUAGGCUGCGGAGUAAGUCAGGUGUGAAAUCUCGGGGCUCAACCCCGAAACUGCACUUGAUACUGCUUCGCUCGAGUACUGGAGAGGAGACUGGAAUUUACGGUGUAGCAGUGAAAUGCGUAGAUAUCGUAAGGAAGACCAGUGGCGAAGGCGAGUCUCUGGACAGUUACUGACGCUGAGGCACGAAGGCCAGGGGAGCAAACGGGAUUAGAUACCCCGGUAGUCCUGGCAGUAAACGGUGCACGUUUGGUGUGGGAGGAUUCGACCCCUUCCGUGCCGGAGCUAACGCGUUAAACGUGCCGCCUGGGAAGUACGGUCGCAAGAUUA
rnacentral:rRNA from 1 species